CGAAUUGAUUUGAGCUAAAUCUUCAUUGUUAUUAGAUUAUUAUAUUGCAUGUAACAUAAUGCAAGCUAAAUGAAUAUUUAGGGGUGAUAGGCCUUCCAAAAAUCAGGAUAUCUUGAUAAUCCUUAAAUGUAUAUAGUACUUCAACAAUUAUAGAGUGAUUAGGCUCUAUAAAUAUAUAAAUAUUAAAUUUUAAUUUAAAUAGGUUUAAAAACCUUUUUAUAUUAUUUUGUAACACUAAUGUUAAUUAGUUUGUAUAAAGUAGGGAUAUUUAUAUUAAAUUUAAAUAUAUAAUAAUAAUGUUAAUAUUAGUAUAAACAUAGAUCUUAAUAAUGAACUCGGCAACUUUACUCUCAACUGUUUAUCAAAAACAUAACUAUAUGAGCAUAUAUAUAGCUAUUUCUGCUCGAUGUAACAUAUAAAUGGCCGCAGUACCUUGACUGUGCAAAGGUAGCAUAAUCAAUUGACUUAUAAUUGAAGUCUGGUAUGAACGAAUUUAUGGGGGAAAACUGUAUCAUUAAGAUUAUUAUAAAUUACUUAAUAGGUGAAAAUUCCUAUUAUCACAUAAUAGACGAGAAGACCCUAGAAAUUUUUAGAAAAGAUAUAAUUUUUUGUUGGGGCGACAAGGUAACAUACAACUUACCUAUAUAAAUACGAAUUAUGUGCUAUGUAUAAAAAAAUUACUCUAGGGAUAACAGCAUAAUAUUAUAAAGUUUAUGACCUCGAUGUUGGACUAGGAAUUUAUAGCCCAGAAGGCAAUUAAUAAUGCUCUGUU
rnacentral:rRNA from 1 species